rnacentral:rRNA from 1 species
UACGGAAGGGGCAAGCGUUGUUCGGAAUCAUUGGGCGUAAAGAGCGCGUAGGCGGUUUCGUGUGUCCGCUGUGAAAGUACACGGCUCAACCGUGGAGGGUCGGUGGAAACUGCGGAACUUGAGGCUGGGAGGGGCCGGUGGAAUUCCCUGUGUAGCGGUGAAAUGCGUAGAUAUAGGGGAGAACACUCGUGGCGAAGGCGGCCGGCUGGACCAGUCCUGACGCUGAGGCGCGAGAGCGUGGGGAGCAAACAGGAUUAGAAACCCCCGUAGUCC